AGCCCUUCGGGGUGUAAACUCCUUUUCUCAGGGAAAAAAGCUGAUGGUACCUGAGGAAUAAGCCCCGGCUAACUACGUGCCAGCAGCCGCGGUAAUACGUAGGGGGCGAGCGUUACCCGGAAUUACUGGGCGUAAAGGGUGCGUAGGCGGCCGUGUGUGUCUGGCGUUAAAAUCCACGGCUCAACUGUGGGUAUGCGCUGGAAACUGCACGGCUUGGGUGCAGCAGAGGCAGACGGAACUGCUGGUGUAGGGGUGAAAUCCGUAGAUAUCAGCAGGAACGCCGGUGGAGAAGUCGGUCUGCUGGGCUGUAACCGACGCUGAGGCACGAAAGCUAGGGGAGCAAACCGGAU
rnacentral:rRNA from 1 species